rnacentral:rRNA from 1 species
UACGUAGGGGGCGAGCGUUGUCCGGAAUCAUUGGGCGUAAAGCGCGUGUAGGCGGCCCGGUAAGUCCGCUGUGAAAGUCGGGGGCUCAACCCUCGGAUGCCGGUGGAUACUGUCGGGCUCGAGUACGGAAGAGGCGAGUGGAAUUCCUGGUGUAGCGGUGAAAUGCGCAGAUAUCAGGAGGAACACCAAUGGCGAAGGCAGCUCGCUGGGACGGUACUGACGCUGAGGAGCGAAAGCGUGGGGAGCGAACAGG